GACGAACGCUGGCGGCGUGCUUAACACAUGCAAGUCGAACGGAAAGGCCCCUUUGGGGGUACUCGAGUGGCGAACGUGUGAGUAACACGUGAGUAACCUGCCCUUGACUUCGGGAUAACUUCAGGACACUGGGUCUAAUACCGGAUAGGAAUCCUUGCUGCAUGGUGGGGGUUGGAAAGCUUCGGCGGUUUUGGAUGGACUCGCGGCUUAUCAGCUUGUUGGUGGGGUAGUGGCUUACCAAGGCUUUGACGGGUAGCCGGCCUGAGAGGUCCACCGGCCACAUUGGGAAUGAGGUACGGCCCAGAAUCCUACGGGAGGCAGCAGUGGGGAAUAUUGGAAAAUGGGCGGAAGCCUGGUGCAGCAAAGGCGCGUGCGGGAUGACGGCCUUCGGGUUGUAAACCGCUUUCAGCAGGGGCGAAGCUUGUGGUGACGGUACCUGCAGAAGAAGCACCGGCUAACUACGUG
rnacentral:rRNA from 1 species